rnacentral:rRNA from 1 species
AUUGAACGCUGGCGGCAGGCCUAACACAUGCAAGUCGAACGAGUGGCGGACGGGUGAGUAAUGUCUGGGAAACUGCCUGAUGGAGGGGGAUAACUACUGUAAACGGUAGCUAAUACCGCAUACCAUCGGAUGUGCCCAGAUGGGAUUAGCUAGUAGUUGGGGUAAAGGCUCACCUAGGCAACGAUCCCUAGCUGGUCUGAGAGGAUGACCAGCCACACUGGAAUUGUGACACGUUACAGACUCCUACGGGAGGCAGCAGUGGGGAAUAGUGCACAAGGGGCGCAAGCCUGAUGCAGCCAUGCCGCGUGUAUAACGAGAGCCUUCGGGUUGUAAAGUACUUUCAGCGGGGAGGCGUUACCCGCAGAAGAAGCACCGGCUAACUCCGUGCCAGCAGCCGCGGUAAUAC